ACUACGGGAGGCUGCAGUGGGGAAUAUUGGACAAUGGGCGAAAGCCUGAUCCAGCCAUGCCGCGUGUGUGAAGAAGGCCUUCGGGUUGUAAAGCACUUUCAGUGGGGAAGAAAGCCUUGGGGCUAAUACCCUCGAGGAAGGACAUCACCCACAGAAGAAGCACCGGCUAACUCCGUGCCAGCAGCCGCGGUAAUACGGAGGGUGCGAGCGUUAAUCGGAAUUACUGGGCGUAAAGCGCGCGUAGGCGGUCUGAUAAGCCGGUUGUGAAAGCCCCGGGCUCAACCUGGGAACGGCAUCCGGAACUGUCGGGCUAGAGUGCAGGAGAGGAAGGUAGAAUUCCCGGUGUAGCGGUGAAAUGCGUAGAGAUCGGGAGGAAUACCAGUGGCGAAGGCGGCCUUCUGGACUGACACUGACGCUGAGGUGCGAAAGCGUGGGUAGCAAACAGGAUUAGAUACCCCUGUAGUC
rnacentral:rRNA from 1 species